rnacentral:rRNA from 1 species
AGUGAACGCUGGCGGUAGGCCUAACACAUGCAAGUCGAACGGCAGCACAGUAAGAGCUUGCUCUUACGGGUGGCGAGUGGCGGACGGGUGAGGAAUACAUCGGAAUCUACUUUUUCGUGGGGGAUAACGUAGGGAAACUUACGCUAAUACCGCAUACCACCUACGGGUGAAAGCAGGGGAUCUUCGGACCUUGCGCGAUUGAAUGAGCCGAUGUCGGAUUAGCUAGUUGGCGGGGUAAAGGCCCACCAAGGCGACGAUCCGUAGCUGGUCUGAGAGGAUGAUCAGCCACACUGGAACUGAGACACGGUCCAGACUCCUACGGGAGGCAGCAGUGGGGAAUAUUGGACAAUGGGCGCAAGCCUGAUCCAGCCAUACCGCGUGGGUGAAGAAGGCCUUCGGGUUGUAAAGCCCUUUUGUUGGGAAAGAAAAGCAGCAGGUUAAUACCCCGCUGUUCUGACGGUACCAAAAGAAUAAGCACCGGCUAACUUCGUG